rnacentral:pre_miRNA from 1 species
AAUAAACCAAUUUUUCACUCUUUACUUUUAAUUUUUGACUCUUCGUCUUAUUCAAAAAAUUUUUUGAUUGAUAUUUUUAUUAGAUGAUAAAUUAUAAAUAGUGCUUUAUGUAUGACUAAUUUUUUUUAAUUUUUUUAAAAAAUUUUAAAUAAGACGAAUAGUCAAAUGUUAGAUACGAAAACC